AUUGAACGCUGGCGGCAUGCUUUACACAUGCAAGUCGAACGGUAACAGGUCUGUGGGUGCUGACGAGUGGCGAACGGUGGUGUAAUGCAUCGGAAUGUGCCCAGAGGUGUGGGUGAACGCAUCGAUAGCUGUGCUAAUACCGCAUGUGAUCUGAGGUGUGAUGCGGGGGACCAAGCAGCAAUGUUUGUGCGUUUGUUUGUGGAGCGGUGGAUGUCAGAUUAGGUAGUUGGUGGGGUAAAGGCCUACCAAGCCGACGAUCUGUAGCUGGUCUGAGAGGACGACCAGCCACACUGGGACUGAGACACGGCCCAGACUCCUACGGGAGCACGCAGUGGGCACAUUUGGACAAUGGGCGCAAGCCUGAUCCAGCAAUGCCGCGUGCGAGAAGAAGGAAUUCGGGUUGUAAACCGCUUUUGUACGGAACGACAAAAAACUGGCUAAUACCUGGGGCUGAUGACGGUACCGUAAGAAUAAGCACCGGCUAACUACGUG
rnacentral:rRNA from 1 species